UGCGCAGGCGGUUGUGCAAGACAGGUGUGAAAUCCCCGGGCUCAACCUGGGAACUGCAUUCAAAACUGACGAGCUAGAGUAUGGUAGAGGGUGGUGGAAUUUCCUGUGUAGCGGUGAAAUGCGUAGAUAUAGGAAGGAACACCAGUGGCGAAGGCGACCACCUGGACUGAUACUGACACUGAGGUGCGAAAGCGUGGGGAGCAAACAGGAUUAGAUACCCCUGUA
rnacentral:rRNA from 1 species